rnacentral:rRNA from 1 species
AUUGAACGCUGGCGGCAUGCCUUACACAUGCAAGUCGAACGGUAACAGGUCUUCGGAUGCUGACGAGUGGCGAACGGGUGAGUAAUACAUCGGAACGUGCCCAGUAAUGGGGGAUAGCUCGGCGAAAGCCGGAUUAAUACCGCAUACGCCCUGAGGGGGAAAGUGGGGGAUCGCAAGACCUCACGUUAUUGGAGCGGCCGAUGGCUGAUUAGCUAGUUGGUAGGGUAAAGGCCUACCAAGGCGACGAUCAGUAGCUGGUCUGAGAGGACGAUCAGCCACACUGGGACUGAGACACGGCCCAGACUCCUACGGGAGGCAGCAGUGGGGAAUUUUGGACAAUGGGGGAAACCCUGAUCCAGCAAUGCCGCGUGUGCGAAGAAGGCCUUCGGGUUGUAAAGCACUUUUGUCAGGGAAGAAAUCCUUUGGGCUAAUACCCUAGGGGGAUGACGGUACCUGAAGAAUAAGCACCGGCUAACUACGUGCCAGCAGCCGCGGUAAUACGUAGGGUGCAAGCGUUAAUCGGAAUUACUGGGCGUAAAGCGUGCGCAGGCGGUUGUGUAAGACAGGUGUGAAAUCCCCGGGCUUAACCUGGGAAUUGCAUUUGUGACUGCACGACUAGAGUGUGUCAGAGGGGGGUGGAAUUCCACGUGUAGCAGUGAAAUGCGUAGAUAUGUGGAGGAACACCAAUGGCGAA